rnacentral:rRNA from 1 species
UAGGGAAUCUUCCACAAUGGACGCAAGUCUGAUGGAGCAACGCCGCGUGAGUGAAGAAGGUUUUCGGAUCGUAAAGCUCUGUUGUUGGUGAAGAAGGAUAGAGGUAGUAACUGGCCUUUAUUUGACGGUAAUCAACCAGAAAGUCACGGCUAACUACGUGCCAGCAGCCGCGGUAAUACGUAGGUGGCAAGCGUUGUCCGGAUUUAUUGGGCGUAAAGCGAGCGCAGGCGGAAGAAUAAGUCUGAUGUGAAAGCCCUCGGCUUAACCGAGAAACUGCAUCGGAAACUGUUUUUCUUGAGUGCAGAAGAGGAGAGUGGAACUCCAUGUGUAGCGGUGGAAUGCGUAGAUAUAUGGAAGAACACCAGUGGCGAAGGCGACUCUCUGGUCUGCAACUGACGCUGAGGCUCGAAAGCAUGGGUAGCGAACAGG